UGGGGAAUAUUGCACAAUGGGCGCAAGCCUGAUGCAGCCAUGCCGCGUGUGUGAAGAAGGCCUUCGGGUUGUAAAGCACUUUCAGCGAGGAGGAAGGUGGUGAGCUUAAUACGCUCAUCAAUUGACGUUACUCGCAGAAGAAGCACCGGCUAACUCCGUGCCAGCAGCCGCGGUAAUACGGAGGGUGCAAGCGUUAAUCGGAAUUACUGGGCGUAAAGCGCACGCAGGCGGUUUGUUAAGUCAGAUGUGAAAUCCCCGGGCUCAACCUGGGAACUGCAUUUGAAACUGGCAAGCUAGAGUCUCGUAGAGGGGGGUAGAAUUCCAGGUGUAGCGGUGAAAUGCGUAGAGAUCUGGAGGAAUACCGGUGGCGAAGGCGGCCCCCUGGACGAAGACUGACGCUCAGGUGCGAAAGCGUGGGGCAGCAAACAGGAUUAGAUACCCUGGUAGUCCACGCUGUAAACGAUGUCGAUUUGGAGGUUGUGCCCUUGAGGCGUGGCUUCCGGAGCUAACGCGUUAAAUCGACCGCCUGGGGAGUUACGGCCGCAAGGUUAAAACUCAAAGGAAUUG
rnacentral:rRNA from 1 species